rnacentral:rRNA from 1 species
CUAAUACCGCAUAACAAUGGAUGACACAUGUCAUUUAUUUGAAAGGGGCAAUUGCUCCACUACAAGAUGGACCUGCGUUGUAUUAGCUAGUAGGUGAGGUAAUGGCUCACCUAGGCGACGAUACAUAGCCGACCUGAGAGGGUGAUCGGCCACACUGGGACUGAGACACGGCCCAGACUCCUACGGGAGGCAGCAGUAGGGAAUCUUCGGCAAUGGGGGCAACCCUGACCGAGCAACGCCGCGUGAGUGAAGAAGGUUUUCGGAUCGUAAAGCUCUGUUGUAAGUCAAGAACGAGUGUGAGAGUGGAAAGUUCACACUGUGACGGUAGCUUACCAGAAAGGGACGGCUAACUACGUGCCAGCAGCCGCGGUAAUACGUAGGUCCCGAGCGUUGUCCGGAUUUAUUGGGCGUAAAGCGAGCGCAGGCGGUUUGAUAAGUCUGAAGUUAAAGGCUGUGGCUCAACCAUAGUUCGCUUUGGAAACUGUCAAACUUGAGUGCAGAAGGGGAGAGUGGAAUUCCAUGUGUAGCGGUGAAAUGCGUAGAUAUAUGGAGGAACACCGGUGGCGAAAGCGGCUCUCUGGUCUGUAACUGACGCUGAGGC